GGAAGUGCACAAUAAUUCGAUUAUGAUAAAUAAUCCUGACAAUACUAAUCUGAAUGUCAUCUGAUUGUUUCGGUUUGUGCAUUGAGUAAAAAACACCUAAAAAUAAGAUUUUCCUUUAAAUUUCUCUCUUUUAAUGCUUGCCUUUGCAGAUUAAAGCUAUUCUAGACAGAAAGACAGGAAAGGAAUGAUGGACAGAAGGAGAGGGUGUGAAAAAAAACAGCUCAGUAACGUAAUUCAGUGAGAAUACAGCGUUCCUCUGCACUCAUUUGGGAGACAUUGUGCUGUCAGGGAGAUCCACCAUCUCUGAGCAACUGCAGCUGAUGAGCACGUAUCAAAUUCAGCUUCUGUGUCUUCCCUUCUCUCUCUGCCUCCUUCCUCUUCUCUCUUGAGGAAUCGUUUCGAUGUCUUCUCUGACUUGCUAAAUGAUGAUGGCUAAAUCUCCACACAGCUGCCAUGCCAGAUCCACUGCAGGACCCGGUUGGGGAGCUGGGAAAUCGGAGAUGCAGUUCCAGCAUAAAAAGUGAGAAGUGGUCUGGCCUCCACACCCUGCCGUACCACAAAGCGUCUGUGUCCUUUACACAUUACAGUGGAAAGAAGGUCAAGAGUGACUGUGCUGAUUAAGCUGGAUCUUCUAAACAUAUUUUUAGCUAACUGCUUGAACACAUCCGGUUUACUGACACAGGCAUCUGAAGGAAACUCUAUCAUCCCCUGGAGAACUGAGGUUUGUUACACCACAUCAACACAAGAACUUUAUGUAUGAUAAUAAGGGAUUUGUAUGUACAUGUCUACGACCGUGUAGUGACACAUUGAUUUGGGAUAGAAGAAAUCUUCCAACAUGAAAAAAGUGACUAACAUCACCCUUAAAGAAUGGAUGCAUCCCUCCCGUACUCAACCAACACCAAACAAUGACAAGGAAUUUGAGAGUGUGUGGAGGCCCAGGGGCGAAGGCUGUCUCUGCACAUGAUCGCCCGCAACUAAUACAUCCCACAACUGCACAUGAGUGUGAUGGAGCCCCUGCCCGUAUUACUGUGGAAACAGGUGCUCUUUGCAGCCCAGCAGAUGUCCCGCAAUGCCGUUGUGGAAAUGGUCUCUCAAUAGCCAUGCACAGAAACAAUGCAUGAUGCCCUGCCAAGGUGGUCUGACUUCUGUUUAUUGUUGACGGUAUGUGUCUUUGUGUGUAUGUAUUGACAUAAACAGACUUGUAUGUUUGUGGAUGGGAAGUCCUGAGUAAUGUAAUAAAUGCAAGAUGAUCUAUGAUGCCUGCUGACA
ensembl:lncRNA